AGUUAGGAAUGCAAGGAUGUUAAUAGCGUUCUUGCUUGACUAAGGCUCCGGAGGAAGCCACGGCUAACUCUGUGCCAGCAGCCGCGGUAAUACAGAGGCGGCAAGCGUUGUUCGGAAUUAUUGGGCGUAAAGAGCACGUAGGCGGCUGUGUAAGUCGGUUGUGAAAGCCUUCCGCUCAACGGAAGAACGGCAUCCGAUACUGCAUGGCUUGAGUGUGGGAGGGGAGAGUGGAACUUCUGGU
rnacentral:rRNA from 1 species